CAGCAGGGACAGCAGCAGGGAUCCUUAUCCCAAAACCCAUUAUUGAAUGAUCCAGGAUCUAGUGACAACUUACAGGUGGUGAACCUCUCAGAUGUGGUAUUAUCUGAACAACAGGGUAAAUUGCAGACAUGCAGGAGGCAGGAGCCCCAGAUACCAAUGGAGAUACAAGCCGACACUGGAAUGUAGCUCUCAGCAACGGACUACUCUGCAGACAACCAGCUACUAAAACUACUCAAAUCUAUACUGCUUAAGAGGUUUUGCUAAACUAAAACUCAAAACAGUUUUGAUCACUCCAGACGAAGAUGGCAAAGGACCCUACUCAGAGAAAAGGAAUCCCUCCUCCCCUUACAACACUUGGUAGCUGCACUUGGCAUGAAAAGUUCUGUAAAGACCAGCCUUGGCAAGUAGAAGUCUUCAUGAAGCCCUGGGCCGCAUAGUGGAAAAAAGGAAAUAUGAACAACUCUGGUCAGAGCAGACAUCCCAUAUAAGUCAUUAAAUAUAACUGUAAUCACUUAUACUCUCUGUAGAAUGUUUGAUGGUUUUUAUCGCUAUAUGGUCAGUAUGUGGGAAUAUUGGCUCAUUUUUAGGCUGAUUUUUU